UAGGAGUGAAAAGUCAUAGAUAACCAUGUCUCUGAACUGUUUCUGGAAAACUAGAAAAAGAUAGUUUUUAAUAUUUUACUCAUGGCUCGACACAAAUUGUCACAGAAAAGCAGCAAUGGUCUCUGGAACUAAAAAGAUUACAGUAGAAGCAAUCAGAGGCAUUACGUGGUUACAAGAAACUCAUUAAUAGAUUAAUUAACA